GUAUACUCGCUUCGGUAGUUCGUAUACUACAUCUGUAACGAUACAGUGAUUGGCAUAGCCUCUGUUCAAGGAAGAGACUCAACAUCGAAAAGAGUUCUCCAAUGAU